GAGCAUGCUCUCUGCCAGAGCUCGGGACUGGUGCUGACCUGCAGGAUGGAGGAGAGAAGAGAAGACUCAUCAACAGAACAAAUGUUGCUGGAACAUUACUUAUAAUGGCAACAAUUGGAAACAAUCAAAGGAUGUCACUAUAGGGACUUGGGUUAAGAAAAUUAUGACACAUCAAAAGCACAGUGAAGAGAACUUCUGUCAAUCCUGUCAAGCACAUGAAGAUGUGAAGUUUCAACUGGAUUCAUUUCUAUAAAUAACCGAUACAAUUUCCAGAAAACCCUGAAGUCAGGAAAACCAAUGUUACUAAUGGCCUUAGGCUACGAGAAGAUCUGGUUAAGAGUAUCCUAAGGGAGGAUCUAAGCCUGUUCAUACUCUACAAGCAAAGAAACAUUAAAAAACAAAACAAAAAACCAAAACUUGAAGAAACGAAGUGACCAGUUCACUACCAUUCAACUAUUAAGGGAUAGAGCCAGGACUCAGUAUCUAGUCAUGUGAUGACAAAGCCCGCACUCUUACUGUACAGCCUCACCUUGGAUAAAUCUCAUUUCAAGACAGGUAAUUUUGAGAAUAUCUUAGGCCCCCCUUCUAUCAAAGAGAGGGAUCGAAUUUAAAAUUUAUCUGGAAUGCCAACUCUGAUUAACUCCCUGGAGAGAGUCCCUGGAGGACUGGUUGAGAAGAACCCUGAGGAUGCAUCAGUGUUCAUCAGGAAAGGGCGCCAACACCCAGCGUGCCCACUCAUGAGCAGGGAGGAGAUGAUGCAUGGGAAUCCACAACUCUAUCUCAAGUUUCCCAGACACACACUAAAGCUCUGCAGAAGAUUUUGGUGCCCCUGAGCUACUUUUACACAGCAAAGAAGACUUCUGAUGUGAUUCCUGGUGGCAGUGCGUAGUAUGCGAUGAUUUCCAUCAGAGUGGCUGGGUUUGUCAAAGCUUUAUUAGAGAUUCCUAUGAUUUGAAGAAAAAGCCAGGGUCCUAUUUUGGCAACUUUUCUGAUAUAAGUAAUAAAAACAAAAUGCCAUGAAUUUAAAUUGUUAGGUUUCUUUUUUACAAAAAGUUUAUACUCAAAAUGUACAAUACCCAAUUACAAGUUGCAUAUGUAUAUAAAAUACCCAAUUAAAAGAUGAAGAAAUAGAAGAAAAUCAACAAAGUCUGUCAACUGAAAUGUUCCUGAAACACCAAGUUUUUGGCCAGGCUCCUAAGACUCCCCACCAGUACAAUACAAACAUUAAAAAUUUUUAAAGCUCAGAAGUAAUUUACUUUUCAGCAGCACCACACGUGAUCAAAACAGGGGGAAGGUUGGAGGAGAAAUAGGCUGUGCCACUAGUUUAUGCGUCUAAACCAAAAUCCAACAACCAUUUCACCUUCCUUGCUAAAGAGAGAAAAGGACCAGGAACUAGCACAGAGUUAACCAUAGGAUUGCUUAUCUGUGAACAAUGAAAU
rnacentral:lncRNA from 1 species